AAAACAACAGCACAGAGAGCAGCAAUGAACAGAUCCUCCUGCACUUCUUCUACAAACCCGGUAGAUGGUUAAGAAUCAAGUGAAUACUGUGAAAAAUUGUGUUUCUUAGUGCCAAAGAAUAAAGAAUAACGUCUUUCAGCAUUAUAAAUCCAAAAUGGAUUGUAAAACCAACUCAACAAAUGCAGAAAGUUCAAUGUCUAUUGGUUGGCAGCAAAGCAGAAGGGACAGGGAUGUGGAGAAGUAUAUAAACCUGUAGUGCUACAAAGCAGCAAUGAAACAGAUCGCCCUGUGCUUCAGCUGUA